AUGCAGAACGCCGUGCUGGCGUGCCCCGCGCCGUCCGGCGGAGGCGCGGGAGGAGACGGCGGGGUCGGGGGCGCAGGCGUCGUGAUGGUGAAGCGCGCGGCCCUGGUGGCGUGCCUCACCUGCCCGCUCUGCCGCCGCCUGCUCCGCGACGCCGCCACCAUCACCGAGUGCCUCCACACCUUUUGCAGAAAGUGCAUAUCUAAGGAGUUCAUCGAUAAGGAGAUCUGCUACUGCCCUACUUGCAACAUUGAUUUAGGCUGUGCUCCAGAGGAGAAACUCAGAGUUGAUCACAGCCUACAAUAUGUGAGGUCAAAGAUAUUUCCUUCUAAAAGACGGAAGGUUGUGGACCAAGAAGCCAUAUCACCGGUCGAAUCACCUGUCAAGAGAAAAGAAAGAUCUCUAUCUUCACUGUCAGUCCAUGGUCCUCGGGUGUCUAUACAGAAAUGCCUCACAAAGAGGAGAACAAAAGCUUCGUGCUUACGCAGCUUGUCUUUGUAUUCUACCUUGCAGGGCAAUAAAGAUGCAACAAAGAAAGUUGGAGGAUGGAAACCUUUGGCCUCUCAUAUUAGAGUUGGUAAAAGUAAAAAAUCUCUCAAAUCAGGUUCCGAAGAGGACAAUAGAACUGGAAUCAAGUCUGAUGAUCCAGAGCAUGGUGCUCCUUCCAAUGAAGCAAAGGCUAGCCUCUUGAAACGCUUGUUGGAGUCUAAGGAACACCUGGCAAAAAAGGAGAAUCUAGUGAAGAAGACUGGAAGCAAGAAAGUGUUCACUCUGAAGGGGAAAAAGAAAAUAUUCAAGGCAAAACAACCUAGGAAAAAGAGAAGAUUGCGAGCAUUAUGGUUCUAUCUAGUGGCUGCUUUUGACCAGAAGGGACAACCUCCUUUACCACAGCUACCUACGAAAUUUUUGAGGAUCAAGGAUGUUGAAUUGCCUGCUUCCUUCAUACAAAAGUACCUUGUGCAGAAACUCAAUCUUUCAAGUGAAGCUGAGGUGGAGUUGAUGUGCGCUGGCAAGAAAGUGGACCCAGCAAUCACCCUGCAUGAUAUAACGGACUGCUAUCUGGACAAAGGACCGAACGGUUGGGUGCGGUCGUCCGUGGGCUCCCCUGCCACCGGGUUCAUCACGACGGUGUUCUACAGCAGGCCAGAGCUGCCCACACCCCCAACACCACCGCCACGACCUGAAAGUCACCAUGGAGCGCCGCCUCAUGUCUGA
rnacentral:rRNA from 1 species